rnacentral:rRNA from 1 species
GUCCCGCAACGAGCGCAACCCUUGAUCUUAGUUGCCAUCAUUAAGUUGGGCACUCUAAGGUGACUGCCGGUGACAAACCGGAGGAAGGGGGGGAUGACGUCAAAUCAUCAUGCCCCUUAUGACCUGGGCUACACACGUGCUACAAUGGACGGUACAAAGAGUCGCAAGACCGCGAGGUGGAGCUAAUCUCAUAAAACCGUUCUCAGUUCGGAUUGUAGGCUGCAACUCGCCUACAUGAAGCUGGAAUCGCUAGUAAUCGCGGAUCAGCAUGCCGCGGUGAAUACGUUCCCGGGUCUUGU